CCAAUAUUUGGGGUGCUUGACACUGGCUCCCAAUAAAACACAUCCAUGAGUACUCUGCCAUGUUGCUUCCCCAGGCCAGUGGCCACUGCUGCCAGCCAGGCCGUUAUUCGGUCACUUGGUUGAGGUGCCUGGGGAGGGGCCAAUUAUUAAACUUUACAUUAACUUACUGUCUGAGAAGGCCAUGUGCCGUAAUCUUUAAACAUGUUA
rnacentral:misc_RNA from 1 species